CUUGACAAAGAUCCACACUUCCAUUUUCAAUAAUGACCUUGACAAACAAUAGAUAAAUUUCUUCUAUCAACUGUUAUUUUUCUCUAGUAUUGGCUGAGAUUCUUUUUUGUAACAGCUUUUAUUCCCAAAAAAAACAAUUGAAGGCUAGACUUGGCAUGACAACAUUUUCCAUCUCACAUUAAUGCCAGUAAGGAGGAGUGCAUUAUCAAAAAUGUGGACAAGUUCAACGCUGGCAUCAAUAUAAGUAAUAUAUAGAAACCACAAAGCAACAUGAAUUUACAGCGCAUCCAGGCGCACCUUGAAUCAAAGCAGUAGAAAUUAAAAACCGAAUCUUGUGUAAAAGACAGCAGUUUCAAUAGGUCGACUAAAAUAAGUGACCUGAGGCUGGAACUUCAAACCUUCUCCAAGAGCUGAAGUUUGUUGCUUACCCCUUCCUUUUAAGCAGCAUGGGUGCUCCUUUAGCAUAAAAGUCCAAUGAAAGUCCCUAUAAGCUGGCAAAAACAUAUUUUGUCAAGCAAAUAUAAGUAGCUGAGGUGCCUCGUUAGAGAGAGAGAGAGAGAGGAGGAGAGAGAGAGAGAUC
rnacentral:lncRNA from 1 species